GAGAAGGUUUUAUUGAAAACGUGAGAAAGCAUCGAGAAAAAAAAAAACAAAAAUAAUUUUGUUUUAACCCUGCGACAUAGAAGGAAUAGGAAAAGACCCUAUAGAAACAUUUUCAAUUUAAAACGGAUUAGAUCGUAAGAACGUCGUGUAG